UAGAUACCCUGCUAUACUCGGAUUAUAGGUUUUUUACCAGGGUAGUAAGCAGUUAUUUUCUUGAAACCCAAAGAGUUUGGCGGUAGCUCAGCCUAGUUAGAGGAGCUUGUUCGGUAAACGAUAAUCCCCGAAAAAUCUUACGUGUUCUUGUAAACAGUUUAUAUACCGUCGUUGUUAGAUAAUGUUAAAAGGCAAAUAAUUAUCUUAAUAUGAGCUAAACAUAAUAUAUCAGAUCAAGGUGUAACUUAUGAAUACGAGUUGAAUGAGCUACAAUUUAAAUAAUAAAUUACGAAAAUUGGUUUUAAAACAAUCAGUAGAAGGCGGAUUUAAUUGUAAUUUUAACUUUAGUAAGUCAAAAUGAUAUUAGCUCUGAGAUAUGUACACAUCGCCCGUCG
rnacentral:rRNA from 1 species